rnacentral:lncRNA from 10 species
UUUUAAUAUACUCUUCCCAGUCAGCCCCACACUUGGACAUCCACUUAUGAUUACUGUGUUUUACCUGUUCAAUUAACCAAUUAAAAUCCUGAGAGAGACAGAUCACACUUAUUUCCCCACAGUGAAAUCUGAAAAAGAAAAAGUACAAAAUAUUCACCCUUCUUCUGAAUAGCCAACAAAACUCCAUUAUGUAGCGGGAUGGGGGGACAUUGCUAAAAAACUACUAAAUAUCUACAAAACUCUUUACAUGACCAUCAAAUCUAUACUUUCUCUAACAAUGCACAAAAAUUAUUUCACAUGAUGCUGUAUUAACAAGAUAAAACUGAAAUUUUUAAUUCAUCAGUAUGUAAUGGACUUAAAAAAACUGGUUUCAAUUAUUUCAGCACUCACAUUGUUUAUUCAGAAUAAAAGUUUUUGCAGCUUGCAGAUAUUAGAACAUCAUCGGAUGUGUGAAGAGAGGCUCAAAGUUGCCCAUAUAAUCCAGAGUCAAGAGAAGAAAUAAAAGUUUAUUUUUUCCUCCUUGGCCCUGCAGAACUGUCCAGUUUCUUUCACUAAUUGCAUAACCUUAGGACGUGACACCUCUCUGGGAUUUGGUUCUCUCAUUUGUAAAAUUUAAAAAACUGAACAAAGUGAUAUCUAAAGACGCUACUUUUUAAACAAGGUCAUGUUAACUAAAGACCCAUUGUAAUCAAUUAUCUUAUUCAGCUUUAAAUUGAAUUAAUACUCAAUUACAUUUUGUAGAAAAACAGUAUGUAGGCCUAUUUUUUUUUAAGCCAUAAAAUUACACGUUUAGGACUUCCAGCUCGACCUGGGUUCAAACUCAGCAUCUUCAGUUUAUGAUCAUCAACAAAUUACUUAAGCUCUCUAAGGCUCAAGUCCUGCAACUGAAAAACGAGAUACUAGUACUUACCUCACAGAAUUAUUGUGAGAAUUGAUAUAAUGCAUGUAAAUAAUGUACCAAAUACCUGGCAUAUAGAAGUACUCAAUAAACACUAGCCAAAACAGACUCUACUCUCAUUUGUGAUUUUUUUUUUAAUAAAGAUGGGGUCUCACUAUGUUGACCAGGCUAAUUUCCAUCUCCUGGCCUCCAGCAAUCCUCCUGCCGUGGCCUCCCAAAAUGCUGAGAUUAUAAGCAUGAGCCACCUUGUCAGGCCCUCAUUUGUGAUUUAAAAUAAGGAGAAUGCAUGUUCCAACCAAUAGGGUUUUGUUUUUUUUUUUUUUGAGAUAGAGUCUCCUCUGUCACCGAGGCUGGAGUGCGGUGGUGCGAUCUUGGCUCACUGCACCUCUGCCUCACGGGUUCAAGCUUUUCUCCUGCCUCAGCCUCCCAAGUAGCUGGGAUUACAGCCGCCCACCACCACGCCUGGCUAAUUUUUUGUAUUUUUAGUAGAGAUGGGGUUUUACCAUGUUAGCCAGGCUGGUCUCAAACUCCUGGCCUCAGGUGAUCUGCCCACCUCGGCCUCCCAGAGUGCUGGGAUUACAGGUGUGAGCCACCAUGCCCGGCCGAACAGUAUUAUUUUAAAAAGAGAUAAAUGAAUAAAUUUUUUUUAAAAAAAAGGCUUAAAUAAUAACUAAAGUGUCCAAGGUCACCUUUUUCUAGAGUUUCCUGAAGAAAUUCAUACAAUGGUGUCCACGAUGGCCUUCAGCGACUGAGAGCAGGUUCUGUGCUAGCCUCCUGCACUUUCCCUUCACACCGUCUUCCAGUUUGUAAUGGCAUAGCUCUUUGUGCAAUUACUUCAUUGUCUAUAUUCCCUCAAGAUUACAAGUUUUGAUAGGGAGGAUCAGCCUGUUCUUGUUUUACCACUACGUGCCCAGCACCUAGAAUGGCAUUUGACACAGUAGCCCCAGAAAUGUGUGUGUCGACAGUGGGAGAGUGCUAUGACUUUUGAAAGAGAUCAACAUUCUCUGAAAACGAGAAUGUUUUCAAGCUUCCCUUGAAACGUUAACCUGUUGCUCACUGCGGACACCAAAUGGAGGCAACUCUGGCCCCCUUCACUUGGGAGCACAGUGACAGUGUGAAGAAGUUGUUAGCUAAAUCAGAUGACAGAAAAUAGAUGCAUGCUCAUUCUUCUUCAUAGUUUAUUAUACUAUGGGACAAAGAACACAUUCAAAGAAGAUGAUUCCCUGAAAGAAUGGGCUAGCUAGGAGUCAAGAACUAGCAUGCCAGUCUUUUUUUUUUUAAUUCCAAGGCUAAGCAUAAGGCAGAGUUAACAGGAAAAAACAAAAAACAAGGUUUAUUAGUUAACAAUGUCCUGGGCCAGGCAAGGUGGCUCAUGCCUAUAAUCCCAGCACUUUGGGAGGCCAAGGUGGGCAGAUCACCUGAGGUCAGGAGUUCAAGACCAGCCUGGCCAACAUGGCGAAACCCAGUCUCUACUAAAAAUACAAAAAUUAGCCAGGUGUGGUGGCAUACGCCUGUAAUUCCAGCUACUCAGGAGGCUGAGGCAGGAGAAUUGCUUAAACCCGGGAGACGGAGGUUGCAGUGAGCUGAGAUCGUGCCACUGCACUACAACCUGGGCAACAGAGCGAGACUCUGUCUCAAAAAACAAAACAAUGUCCUGACAAUUUUUGUUUUGAACUCAAAAUAUGCCUUUAUUUGUGACUUUGCUUGCCCUCGGGGUCUCACCAGGGCUUCGUCUCCAGGUAUAAUCUGUUAGCAAGUUCUGUAGCUUCUAUGUUCAAAGAACACCCAGGCUCUGGUGAUGUCACUAACUCUUAUGCUACCAACUUGGCCCCAACCUCCCUCCCCAAGUCAUUUUCAGACCAGCUCUCCCCAUUUCCACCUUCAGCCCCUGCAGUCUAUUCUCAGAAACAUUCCUUGAAAUAGUCAAAUAGCAUUACCUCUCUGUUCAAAACCCUCUGAUGGCUUCUGUUUCACUUUUAGUAAAAAUUUAUUUAAUACAAGCCGUUCUGUGUCCCUUCCACCCCGCUACCUCUCAGUAACUACAGGGUUUCCUUGCAAUUUUUCUCACCUCUCCAUGUACUCCGCAGACAUACACCUGACUUACUCCUUCCCUGCCUUCAGGUCUGUGGCCUCAGCCUCCAUGGACCCUUCCCUGGCAGCCCUGAUCCCUUCUCCAACAUUCCCAACGCCCUUUUCCUGCUUUAUUUCUCUUCAUAGCACUUUCUAACAUUUCUUUUUGAAAGUCUUCCUCACUUUUUCUGGAAAAUGUGAGGGCUGGGGAUACUGCUGUGUACCACGUCUCCUAAUAGUUCUGAUUCUAAUAAUGUGUUGUAAAUUUCAGGAUGUUUGCAUGAAUUAAAAACUAAACUGAAUACAAGAUAAAGAAAUGUAAUGAAACUGUAUUAAUGGGCCAACUGAAUACCCGAGUAUUAUCACCUACCGAUGCUAACAGCAGGCUGUAUCCCAGGCUCUGUGCUCAGCACUUCACAUGCAAGCAUCUAGUUGAAUUCUCACAUCAAAUUACACAGUACACAUUAUCCUCACUGAACAGAGGAGGAAACUGAGGCCCAGAGAAAUUAAGUGACAGGCCUCAGGUCCAAACACAAAUUAGCCACAGAGCCAACACACACCCAAGUCAGCUGGGAGACCAAAUUACUAUUAAGAAUUCUUUCAAGCAUGACAAAAGCUAAGCAAAUUACUAUGAAGUAUUCUCUCAAGUAUGACAGAAGCUAGGAAGUCAGAUAACUUCUUUGCCACUAAAAUCAUAGCCAGUGAGAGCAGAAAAAUAUUUCAAACCCAUUUCUAGCAAUUAAAUGGAUUUUCAUCUUUUAACACCACUAGAUAAAAAAUCAUCAAUUAUAGCAAAGAAAAAUAUUUACAUGUUUUGUUAACUGUAUAGCAGUUUAUUUUCUGUUUAAAUAAAACAUACUCAGAAGAUUAAUGAUCACAUUUACCUGCAGAAGUUUAAAAAACUCAUCUUUCAGCUGAUUUUCAUCUAGGUCUUCAAUAGUUCUUAUCAAUUGUUGCAGGUGAGUACAUAAAGCAAUGAUGGAUUCCUGUGACCCAUAGAAAUUUUGCUCUUUUGAUUCUUUAAAUACAUCAAAGUAAUCGAUUGGUGGACUAAAGUAGGAGAAAAACAAAGUGAAACAUUUUAGUUUGUACAUUUGGAUAACUGCAGUUCUUGAAAGAAAAUAGCACCAUACAGUCUCAAUAAUCAGUGCUAACAGAAACUAGAUAUAACAUUUAUCUAAUUAACUAGAAAAACUUAAUACUAAAUAAUCAAAUUACACAAAAAUCUCUCAAACUCAUUUUAAUUGUCAAAAAAGUUCCCAAAUCAAGUAUUUUUCUGGACAUAUUAAAUAGUGAUAGUGACUAUGCUCAUAAUUAUCUACCUAGCAGGGAUUCCAGGGCACAAGAAGGAGAAAGAUAAAUUUCAAGACAACUGCUUUAGUUCAACAAACAUUUUUUAACCACCGAUGUGGCAGAGUUCCAGUAACAAAUGUAUAGAAUAUAAACAGAAUAUUUGAAUACAAUGCAGCAAUCAUUAACAGAAUGAAACACAGAGUAUGAUGGAAAUACAAUGAGUACUUAAGAUAAAUCAGACAAUACUAUUGUAAGUUUUAGAAGAAUGAUAAUUUUUUAUCACUAAUUUUAGGUAUUUUUGGGCAACUUUAACCAAAGGUGAUAUAUGUGGCAUGGCUACACCUUCAUGUUUUCCAGUGAGAGAUUAAAUCAUAUUAUAUUGGCCUAAGAAAAUCAUAACUAAGGAGAUAUAAAUACUAAUAUAAUAAUCUUUACUGAAUUGAAUAUAAAAGACAUUCAGAUUAUUGGGUCUUCCAAAUUAGCUACUUUUUCCAUGGGUCAUUCAUGUUAGGGUAAAAACAAUCUAACACUGAUGUAAUCGGCUUGAUUUGUUUUGUUUUGUUUUUUUAAAUAACAUACCAGUAUUUAAACAUCCAAAUGAUGGCUGCCUCCUUCCAGCCAGUCAGUCACCUCGGGAAGCUACACCCUUAUUCCAAGGGCGCUGCCAUUGCUCAGAGCACUUUUGGAAUUCCUCUUUAGGAAUUUUCUUCAGAACCUAUGGCACAUCAUUAAACCUCCUGUCAGUGAUCACAUAUCUUCAUCCUUUGGAGUCAAUUUAUUUUUGGAAACAGCCAAAAGUCACUCGGAGUGAUUUCAGUAGAAUGAGGUGUGUGAUCAAAUUGGAUAAAAACUUUUUUUUUAAUCAAAAAUGAGUAAAAAUACAGGAAGACUAAUUUUCAUUUUGAGGCAUGUAAACUGGCUCUGAAAGAAGUUCCAAAUAAUUCAAAGAUGGUUUUAGCAAUGGCAGCACCGCUGAAAUCAGUCAGUCUCUCAAGGUGACUUAAAAGGAUAAAAAUCAUUCGGAUGCACAGACCCAAUCCGGCCCACCACCUGUUCUGUCUGACUCACAUGCUAAGAGUGGUUUUUAUAUUUUUGAAUGGCUGAAAACAAAGUGAAAGAAAAGUAGUAUUUUGUAACACAUGAAAUUCAAAUUUCGGUGUCCGCUGAAUAAAGUUUCUUUAGAACACAGCCAUGCUCAUUCUUACAUAUUAUUUAAGGUUGCAUUCACACGACAAUGGCAGGUUCGGCAGCUGCAACAGAGACCACAUGGCCCCUAUGCCUAAAAGAUUUACUACCUGGCCCUUUACAGAAAGUUCUAAUAAAACAUGUUCUAAUGUUUUAUUAACAAACCAUUCAUUAAAGUCACAUCUCAUAUUAAGAAUGAGCCUUAUUUUCGUAUUUAAGAGAGUAAACUCACAUAACUAUAUAUAAAUUCUCAUUUUAGAAUGUUUUCUAUUUUAGAAUCUACUAAAGCUGUGUAUGUACACACACUAUGACCCAGUGAUUCACUUCUAGGGAGGGAUAUAUCCAACAGAUGUAUUCAUACAUAUGUUCAGCAAAAAAGUGUCAGAAUGUUUAUAGCAGCAUUCUUCCUAACAACUCCAAACUGAAAAGUACUCAAAUAUCCAUCACAACGAAGUAAACAGAUUGUAAUAUGCUCAUAAAAUGCAAUAUUAUAAAGCAAUGAGAAUGAAUGAUCUAUAAUUAUAUUGUAACAUAUGGAUGAGUCUCACAAACAUAAAAAUGAGUGAAAGAAGCCAGACACAAAACUAUACACUGUAUCAUUUCAUUUCAGUAAAGUUAAAAAACAGGCAAAACUAACACAGGUCAGAACAAUGGUUAUCCUUGAGGAGUAAUGAAGGCAGUGACUGGAAAGGGACUCAAAGUGGACUUUUGGGGUCUGUAAGGUUCCGUCUCUUGAUCUGGGCACUGGGUACACAAGUAUGUUCUUGAACACAUAAGACAUGCACAUUUUUCUAUAUGUAUAUUACACUUUAUUAAAAAGUUUUUCUAAAAAUCUAAUAUUUUCUCUGUACUUUCAUCUUUCAAUAUCUGAAGUGUAUUUACCUAAUAUGUUUAAAUUUCACAUAUGGCUAAAACUUUGAAUCUUAAUUUAGACUGGCAGACUAUUGCAUGUUUCAGUGUAAAAUGGUAAAUCAAUAUAAACAUGUCUUUUAUAAAAGCUGGUCAGUCUGGAGUUGCCAUUGACCUAGGAUAGGGAUCCCCCAUAGAAGAACCUAAAAAUUAGACAUUUAAGAAUUACUUCAGUGCUGGCUCCAUUGUAAGAUGGCUCUUUAUCUGCCACAGAAACCGCUUUGGGAAGAGUUCUACAUCCGUGAUUGUGCAACAUUCUAGUUUCUUGAACUUAAAGAUGCAUGUUCCCUCUAUCCCAUUUAACAAUCUGUUCGCUGAACCAGUGGAUAUCAUCACUCCCUGAGCUUCCGAAAGAAAAACUGAUACCCAGGCCCCACCCCAGAUAAAUUAAGCAAUUUGUAUUUAUUCCAACACAAUAAUCUAAAACUAUGUGGUGUUUUUUUUGAGACGGAGUUUCGCUCUUGUCGCCCAGGCUGGAGUACAACGGCACAAUCUCGGCUCACUGCAACCUCCACCUCCUGGGUUCAAGUGAUUCUCCUGCCUCAGCCUCCUGAGUAGCUGGGAUUACAGGUGCCCAUUACCAUGCCUGACUAAUUUUUGUAUUUUUAGUAGAGACAGGGUUUCACCAUGUUGGCCAGGCUGAUCUCACACUCCUGACCUCGGGAGAUCCACCUGCCUCAGGCUCCCAAAGUGCUGAGAUCACAGGCGUAAGCCACUGUGCCUGGCCUAAAAAUACGCAUUUUUGAAGCCACCUUCCUUUUCCCCAACUGGGUCAUAAAUGUGCAGCCAGGUUUGUGAAAAUCUGCUCUAGGUAUUUUUAGUCUCUGAACCUGAUCAACCUCUAAAAUCAAACUCAGAAACAGCAUUCCUCUUGCCUUAAACACACAAACUCCACCAACCCCACUCAAGAUGCCACCCAGUCUUUCAACACUUUGGCAGCUUUGGCUCCUACCACAGAUAUUUUCCAAAAUUAGGAAACCAUCACCCCGAAUUUCAGACUACUCUCAGUCCUUGACAGGCAUCUAAAUCUACUAUUUGGGAAGAAUGGCUGAAUAAGGACACUAAUCUGAUUCACACAGACCAGGCUCAAAUCCUGGUUCCACCACCUACUAGCCAUGUCACCUUGGGCAUGUUAGAAAUCUCUCUGAGCCCAAUCACCUAAACUGUUAAAAUGGAAACCAUAACAACGCCUACAUUUCACUGGGUUGCACAGUCACUAGAACAUUGCUAGUUACUGACAGCUCCUUACAUCUUCUGCUGUUCUGCUGGGGUGCCUUCUCCAUGCCAAGCAGUGCACCGGAGUUUUUUUUGUUGUUUUUUUGUUUUUUUUUUGAGACAGAGUCUUGCUCUUUCACCCAGGCUGGAGUGCAGUGGUGUGAUUUCGGCUCACUGCAACCUCCGCCUCCUGGGUUCAAGUGAUUCUCCUGCCUCAGCCUCCUGAGUAGCUGGGACUACAGGUGCGCACCACCGCGCCCAGCUAAUUUUUGUAUUUUUAGUAGAGACGGGGUUUCAGCAUGUUGGCCAGGAUGGUCUCGACCUCUUGACCUUUUGAUCUGCCUGCCUCGGCCUCCCAAAGUGCUGGGAUUACAGGUGUGAGCCACCGCACCCGGCCUGCACCAGAGUUUUAAUAGUGUAUUUUGCUUUUAGAUCAGAAGUUCUAAAACCUACCUAUCAGAAAAAACAACAAAUUGUGAUAUGAAAAAAAAAUAUAUAGGCUGGGCGUGGUGGCUCAUGCCUGUAAUCCCAGCACUUUGGGAGGACGAGGAGGGCAGAUCACCUGAGGUCAGGAGUUCGAGGUCAGGAGUUCAAGGCCAGCCUGGCCAACAUAACGAAACCCCAUCUCUACAAAAAAUACAAAAACAAAAAAAGUUAGCCAGGCAUGGUGGGAGGUGCCUGUAAUCCCAGCUACUCGGGAGGCUGAGGCAAGAGAACUGCUUGAACCCGGAAGGCAGAGGUUGUAGUAAGCCAAGAUCGCGCCACUGUACUCCAGCCUGGGCGACAGAGCGAGACUCCAUCUUAAACAAACAAACAACAACAAGAACAACAACAACAACAAAAUAUAUACGUGUGUGUGUAAGAUUAAGACAAAAAAGCUAAUGAACAGAUUUUAAAGUUCCAUAUGUUUCCCAAAAUAAUUUUAUUUUACAAUUAGUGCUGACUUGAUAGGUCACUUUAAAUUGUCCUAUGCUAUGUUUAGGAACAGAUACCAAAGGAUUCCUCUUAACAAACCUGUAUUUUUGGAACCUGUGCUUAUUAAGGAUAAUCCAAUCAUCCCCAUUAACUUUUCUUUGGCACUAUAAAUAACAGUUUUUUGUUUUUUGGUUUUUUUAAACAGUCUCGCUCUGUCGCCCAGGCUGGAGUGCGGUGGUGUAAUCUUGGCUACUGGAACCUCCGCCUCCCAGGUUCAAGUGAUUCUCAUGCCUCAGCCUCCGGGGUAGCUGGGACAACAGGCAUGUGCCACCACACCUGGGUAAUUAUAUAUUUUUUGUAGAGACGGGGUUUCGCCACGCUCACCAGGCUGGUCUCAAAUUCCUGACCUCGAGUGAUCCACCUGCCUUAGCCUCCCAAAGUGUUGGGAUUCCAGGCAUGAGCCACCACGCCUGGUCUAAAAACUAGUUCUCUAUCAGAUGUUUUCCUAGGAAAAAUUAAAUAAUAUAAACAAGCCUAGAAAAAGUUACUUUGAAACAUGUGUACUUUUAAAAUCUUUUUCUAAACUAGCCUUUUUAAAAAAAGAUGAAAGAUUAAGACUAUAAUACAAUAGUAUGAUUCACUGUUCUCAUGACUCCUUAAACCAAGUAAGUUGUAACGUUUAUUAUCUAUUUCAAUAAACAAAACAUAUGCUUACUUUGUCCCAUCCUUAUUUAUAUAAAUGUAACUAUUUCAAAUUUACAUUUUUUACUCAAUAAGCAAAACUUCUUUUAUUCUAGAAGUCUUUGUUGGAAUCUUUAAUUAAUUCACGCUUUAUUUAUCUAUUUUAUUGAGACAGAGUUUCACUCCGGUGCUCAGGCUGCAGUGCAGUGGUGCAAUUUUGGCACACUGCAACCUCUGCCUCCCAGGUUCAAGCAAUUCCCAUUCCUCAGCCUCCCAGGUACCUGGGAUUACAGGCCCGUGCCACCAUGCCUCGCUAAUUUUUUUAUUUUUAGUAGAGACGGGUUUCGUUAUGCUGGCCAGGCUGGUCUCGAACUCCUGACCUCAAGCAAUCUGCCCACCUCAGCCUCCCAAAGUGCUGGGAUUACAAGCAUGAACCUCAGGGCCUGGCCAAUUCGUACUUUAGAUAUUUACUCUUAUGUCUAUUCUAGGCAAGUAGAUUAUAAUUGCCAAGAAUCUGUUAAAUUGGUAACAGCUAUAGAAAUGUCCAUCAGUAACAUUUGUAGAAAUGUCCAUCAGUAACAUUUGUAGAAAUGUCCAACAAUGCUAUUAAGAUUUGCUAAACUCAACCAAAUUCAAGCUUCCACUGGUGCUUAUUUUUAAACUUAUCCUUUUACAAUUUCAGAAAAAGUAUAAAUUAUCUAAACAUUUGAUAGUUGAUGAUUACACACGUACCUCUGGAUAAUUGCUUCAUGAAUUCUUCGAUACAUGUAACAUUCUACCAACAACCACGGUGAGUAGAACCAUCUUGAUUUUCCAUCACUUUCAUUUAAAAGACUCUGUUGAUAUUCUAGGUACUGAUUCCAUAUAUCAGUAUCAACAAAUUUCUCAACCAAGGGGAUAAAUGGUUUAUCUGUUUGCAAUUCAUUCCGUAAUUUAGAAAGGAGAGAGAUAGCUUUCUUUUCAGCUUCCACGCCUUCCUGCAAAAAUACAAGAAAAAUAAAUUGUGUGUGUGUGUGUGUCUGUGCAAUUCCUCUAGGGUAACAUAUUUUUACAGACUUAAGAAGAAAAGAAAAAUGUUCAAAACUACAUUUUAUUUCUUUAAACAUUACAUUUAGAACUCUUAAACUGAAAAUCAAAAAACACACACAGAUCUCAUAUGAACAUAAUCAUGCCUUAUCUACCUAAGUUCUGGCCUUUCUGUAUCUUCGGUGGGAUGACCAUUACCACAGAGGGAAAGGAACCCCUGCCAGAUUUUCCAUGUCUUUCAUGCUUCCAUACAUAUUCUUCUUUCACCAUUGACACCACUAGAAAAGAAACUGUGGGCUUUCUGAGGUUUCUUUUGGUAGCUCAAAUUUUUUUUAACUUGUUUUCCACCAAGUUCUAGCUAGGUGAGAGAUGACAUAUGCUGACAAACAAGGCACUACAAUAUUAUCUCACAUAACAGGCCAAUUGGAGUGGGGACAAAUGUAAUGGGAUCAGAAUGAAGUGAAAAUGACUUCACACCUUGGUUUUACAUUAGCAAGAUUCCUGCUCCAUUAAAAAAAAAGAAAAUGUAAGCCUAAUAAGACACGUAUAUAAUAAAAUGUAGAGAAUAAACAUCAAGCCUGAGUAUUUUUAUAAGAUCAUUUUUAUCAUGUUGAUAUUUAGUCCCUACUUUCAGAUCUGUAAUUUUCUCAAUAUAAACAUCUCUCCAAUCUUUCUUUUGUUCCAAGUACAAUUUAUUUUGCUGCUAGAAAAAAAGAUUGAAGCUUUCGAGAUUCUGCAGGUUCAGAAAUAGAAGAAAAGAAGUUGUAGCUGACUGUUUUGAGAGGAACUCCCCCUCCUCCAAAUCUCUUCCCUAAAGUCUUAAACUUCAACUCUUUAACUAUAAAUUCCAACAACUGAGGUUUUACAGGGUGUCAGGCACCCUUUUACAGAAGCAUAUACCUAAAAAGGCUAAUGGAUUAAUAGUGAUGUCACUGCCACUUUGUUCACUUACUUGAAUUGAAUUCAAACAUUUACUGAACCCUGUAUGUGCCUGACACUAACCUCAGGGCCAGAGAAAGAUGAAUAAAGCCUGGUCCUGUCUCCAAGAGACACACAUCUGCCAAACCAGGUAGUCUAAGGGCACGGACGUUUGACCGCUGAGGUGGGGGAAGAUAGAAAACUGUGUGGCAUGGCUCCUUCGGAGAUAAGCCUGGCCCUGCUAUAGGUGGGGGCUUAGGAAGCUAGAACACAUGAGGCCCAAGGAGAGUGGCCAUAGGUAUAACAGAGGCAUGAAAAAGGGACAGAAAGGCUACCAAAAGCAGACUUUAUCUGUGUCAAUUUACAUCUUGUUCUGUGCUCAGUAGAGUGUGAAAUGGGGGAGGGCUGGAGAGACAAUAAACUCUGCCUUCAGUCACCUGGUGAUUACGGGCAUACAGGCCAAGUAGCAAUAUACUAGGACUUCAUUAAUUACUACAUUUUAGAUCACUCUGGCCGAAAAAACUGAAAUUACAAAAGCAUUAUGGGGCCAGGCACAGUGGCUCACGCCUGUAAUGCCAGCACUUUAGGAUGCUGAACUGGGAGAAUUGCUGGAAUCUAGGAGUUUGAGGCUGCAGUGAGCUAUGACUGCACCACUGCACUCUGCCUAGUAGACAGAACAAGACCCUGUCUCAAAAAACAACAACAAGAAAAACAAAAGUAUUAUGGUAAUUUGCUUGCGUAUAUGACCAAAUACUAAAGUGAACUAUCCAAAUUUGGCUAAAUUAUACUUGUGUGAUAAAGAUAUGUCAGUUACCAAAAUUAUGUUUAUGUGAUAAACAUUAAAACCAUUCAGCAAUAUAAUUGUCAGUGUCUAAAUUAAGCCGGAUUUUAGCAACAAGGAACAACAGGUAAUCCCUGUGUUAUGCCAGGAUUAGUUUUAAACAAGACAAUAUAAAAGAAGUUGAAAGAAGUAGAACAUUACACUCAAACUGCAUGUGUGUUAUCUUGCUCCAUUUCAAUUUGGCCAAGGAGAAAAGAUCACCAACCAUUUCUCUAAAUUUUUGUUUUCAACUCUCAAAAAAAAUGUACUGGUAUAUGUAUGCUCUUUUACAGUCUAUUGUGUAAUAGAAAGAUUACUGAACCUACAAGUUUAAAGACCUAUGUCUAACAUAACAUGUGGGGAAAAGCAAGAGAGAUCAGAUUGUUACUGUGUCUGUGUAGAAAGAAGUAGACAUAGGAGACUCCAUUUUGUUCUGUACUAAGAAAAAUUCUUCUGCCUUGAGAUUCUGUUAAUCUAUAACCUUACCCCCAACCCCGUGCUCUCUGAAACAUGUGCUGUGUCAACUCGGAGUUAAAUGGAUUAAGGGCGGUGCAAGAUGUGCUUUGUUAAACAGAUGCUUGAAGGCAGCAUACUCCUUGAGAGUCAUCACCACUCCCUAAUCUCAAGUACCCAGGGGCACAAAAACUGCGGAAGGCCGGAAGGCCGCAGGGACCUCUGCCUAGGAAAGCCAGGUAUUGUCCAAGGUUUCUCCCCAUGUGAUAGUCUGAAAUAUGGCCUCGUGGGAAGGGAAAGACCUGACCGUCCCCCAGCCCGACACCCGUAAAGGGUCUGUGCUGAGGAGGAUUAGUGUAAGAGGAAGGCAUGCCUCUUGCAGUUGAGACAAGAGGAAGGCAUCUGUCUCCUGCCCGUCCCUGGGCAAUGGAAUGUCUCGGUAUAAAACCCAAUUGUAUGUUCCAUCUACUGAGAUAGGGAAAAACCGCCUUAGGGCUGGAGGUGGGACAUGCGGGCAGCAAUACUGCUUUGUAAAGCAUUGAGAUGUUUAUGUGUAUGCAUAUCUAAAAGCACAGCACUUAAUCCUUUACAUUGUCUAUGAUGCAAAGACCUUUGUUCACGUGUUUGUCUGCUGACCCUCUCCCCACAAUUGUCUUGUGACCCUGACACAUCCCUCUCUCGGAGAAACACCCACGAAUGAUCAAUAAAUACUAAGGGAACUCAGAGGCUGGCGGGAUCCUCCAUAUGCUGAACGCUGGUUCCCCAGGUCCCCUUAUUUCUUUCUCUAUACUUUGUCUCUGUGUCUUUUUCUUUUCCAAGUCUCUCGUUCCACCUUACGAGAAACACCCACAGGUGUGGAGGGGCAACCCACCCCUUCAAUAACAUAGUUAUUUGGAUUUUUCCUCAUCCAUUAAUUGAAUGGACAAAGUGAUUUCUAAAGUCCUAUUCUGCACUGAAUGCUAAUGAGUCCCAACUUGAAUCAGUACAAUGUGUCAAUCAAUUAUAAUUCAUAUCACUGAGCUUUGCAUAGCAGCUUGAACUUCCAGGACUCAAGAUCUCAAAUUAGUAAUAUAAAUACUGCAACUCAAAUUAAACUUGAAAUUUAAAAAGCUCUUCUAAGCAACUCAAUUGCUUAGUCACUUGACUAAGUCAAUUGCAAGUCUGUUGCCCAGUCACCAAUUACAACAUUGCAUAUAUUAGAAAAUACAUUCUGAAGUCUAAAUAACUGACAGAAUUAAUUAUUGGAACACAAUCAUUUUCUAAAUUGAAGAUUGGCUGUUCUAUCUUCAUUUCAAUGUAUUACCUUAAAAACAAAUAAAUACUUGGCCCAUCUAUUGAUUUUUACAUUUAAAGGAAAAUUGAUACCUUCAAGAACUAUUUAUUAUGUUUCUGUUGAGAAAUUAACAAAAAAUUAAAAGUUAAAACAAUUCUUACCUCUCCGUGUUUCUCAAAAAAUUCACUUUUAUGUCGAUGCAAUGUAUCAAUAACCUUAGUUAAGAUCUGUGGUAUUCUGUCUUUAAUUGUAAGAUAUGCAAAUGAUCUAGAAAAGAGUCACAUGCAAUAUAUAACUUAGCAGCAUCAAUACUAGAAGACUGGCUAUCUUUUAGUUUCUGGAACACUUCAUGUAUAUUAAACUCCUCAUACAACUAUUAAAAGAUAGACAAGUAUUGUAUGAUUACUAUAUUAAGACAUAAGAAAACCUGGAAAAUUCGCUGGUAUGUCAUGGAAGCCAAACUGUCUUGGUGCCUCUAAUCCCAGAUUCUCCCAUGGAGUCUGUUUAAUCAUUCUUAUCUUUCCUAUUCUAUUGCUUUUAUUUUCCUAAAUCAGAAACUCGCUUAGCAAAGUGAUAGGAUAGGGAAUGGAUUAGCUUAGAAAUCAAACAGGCUCUUGUCCCAGGUCUACUAUCUGCUAAGUCACCUGCUUAGAAAGAUGAAUGAAGCAAUGCAUCUAAAACCACCUAAAGGGUCUAAUGUGCUUGAACAACAUAAAGAAUUAAAGGUACUUUUAAGCCUGUUUCUCUCCAUUCUGUCUAUUUUCUAAGUCAAUUUUAAUUAUUUUCAAAAAUUUUCCCCUUCUCUGCCUUCUCUAUCUGCACAAUGGACUCCUUCCAUCCUAUUCUGCCCCUAAGCAAAUGAAGGCGUGCUACUGUCUCUUCCCACUCAAAAAAUCAGAGAUUUUAUAGAAGUGUUCAAGAAUGAAGCAAGCUGGAGAUGAAGAAAAACUUAUACCUGCAUUAAAAAAUUAAAGAUAUUCUUGAUUUUAUUCAUACAAAACCCAAGAUUUACAGAUUAUCAUUUUAUAUCAUUCUAAGGAAAUACAUGAUACAGGUAGAAAAAAAGCUUUAUUUGGUGGAGAAAUUCUGUGCAGUUUUAAAUAUAGAGCACAGAGCUUAGCUGACUAGUGUUUUUAUCUCCAGAUCACAGGAGACAAUUGUUAAAUUACUAGAUUGUAACUUGGGUAUUUCUUCAAAAGGUUUCCUCAAAUGAUAGCUAUAGAACUUUAAGAAAAAAACUGCACACACUUUCCGACUCUGUGGUGCUUUCAGUACCACCCAAAACAGUGAUUAGGUUUUAAUGCGCAUAAUAACUACGUUGAUCAGAAUUUAAUUUUUAAAAAUCAUUAAUAAAAGAAAUCACUAAUACCUCAGAGGGUGAGCAGGAACAUUAAAUCAACUGUCACUUGAAUUUUCCCAGGCAGUAGGUAUAGUAAGUCCUUUUUUGAGAUUUUACUUUAAUUGGAAAGUAUUACUGUUUUCCUAACUACUACAUUUCCUGCACCUCUGGAACAAAGUCUCUGGCCAGGACUGGAGUGAGGCCAGAAGCCCUAGGGCGCAAAAUUGAAGGAGAUACUCUCUAUACUUGCAUGACCUGAAACAGUGACUGCCUCAAUUUGGGGCCAUUGGCGCCACUUUGUUGGCCUCAACCUACUUUCUGCCCAGGUUUAUUUUCUUCAAAGUGUUCUCGUCUUUUGCAAUAUUUUGAAGUAAGGACAAAUUUCAAAUAUAAAUUUGGCCAUUCGAUUUAUGCAAAUGGAUGUUAUUUGCACGGUCACCCACAACUUUACCCAAGAAUCAGUAGCGUGACGACUAUAAAGCAAAAAACUAGACAGUUCUUACUGUGAGAUUACGAUUUGAUCAACAACAGGGAGAAACCCGUUUCUUAAUAGCGCUGAGAUCCCCAACUCUUACGCAGAAUUUUAACGCCCCCAAAGCGCGUCUAUUAAAGUGAAUAAAUAAAAAGUGACCGCCAGGAACAGACCGCGAAGCUGACCCCUGUCCUGAUCCUUACGAGCAGCCGCCGCGGGCAGGCUCCCUCCCCGGGGCCGCCUCCCUUCGCCUCCGAGCCAGUCCGCGAAACCCGCAAAGGCGCCCCGGAAAGCCGCGCCCGGCGGCGGGACUCGAACGCAGCCCACCGGGGAGCGGGCGCCCUCCGCUUAGUCCCCACAGGCUCCCGGCGAGGCCCGGCUUUCCGCAAAAGUGGGGAGGAGAAAAGCUAGACUAACCCCACGUCCUGUCCUGAGAGAGACGCCGGGACGACAGCCAUCACUUUCCGCGAUCCCGGCCGCAAAGC